ensembl:lncRNA
UUAGUUCCCUAACCAGGGAUCAAGCCCUUGCCCUUGGCAGUGAAAGCAUGGAGUCCCAAGCACUGGAUCACCUGAGAAUCCCCAGUAAUUUUCGAUUUCCAGAGAAGCUGAAAAAACAGUCCAGUUCCCCACAUUACUAACAUCUUCCAUUGCCAUGGUGGAGUCCUCAAAACUCAGAAGUACACAGUAUUACUAUUAACUAACUUCCAGAAUUUAUUUGGACUUCAUCAGCUUUUCCAUCAAAGUCCCAUUUUAAUCCAAGAUUCAGUCCAGGGUAUCACAAUGCACUUAGUUGCCAUAUCUCCCCAAUAUCUUCUGGGCAGUCUUUGUUUUUGUUAUGACCUUUACAUUGUUGAGGAGCAAACCAGGUAGCCUGGAGAAUGUCUUGGAGUUUUUCUCGUGGUUAGACUGGAUUGGGGGAAGCAAUAGCACAGACAUGGUCUUCUCAUCAUUUUAUAUUUGGGGUACGUGAGCUCCAUCUGAGAUCACUAAUGAUGUUAACUUUGAUCACCUGGUUAAUGUAGCAUCUCCACUGUAAGGUUUCCGUUUUUCCUUUGUGUUAGUCACUCAGUCAUGUCAUACUCUUUGUGGGUCUAUGGACUGUAGCCCACCAGGCUCCUCUGUCCAUAGGAUUCUCCAGGCAAGAAUACUGGAGUGGGUUGCCGUGCCCUCCUCCAGGGGAUCUUCCAAACCCAGGUCUCAACUGCAAGGAACCAAUGCACUAUGAAUGUGAAAGGUGAAGACAGGAGUGAGGAAGACACCUAGGCAAACUUACCUGCAGGCAGACAAGACCCUCUCACAGUGGGAUUAAAGGAGCAUGCGAUGGUGCCUGGCCCCUGGGUUGUAUCUGCUGAUACUUACAAUCAGGUCAGCCGAAAUUCAUAACUUUGACUCGAAUUUUUAUCCAUCAUUAAAGGAAAUCCCCAA